CUGCCCUGGGUUCAGCAAGCAGUGUGGACGGCAAGACAGCUGGCAUCACGAACAGGGUCAGCGAGACAGAGGGUCUACAGGAGCCUUCCCUUAGACAGAGCUUCAUUGCAAAGUCUCGUUUCCAAUUUUCCCAACUCCUCUCUCACCCGGGCCUGGCCCUCCAAGGGCGCCCAGGUUGAAGCAAGCAGGCCGAGCUCUGUUGGUCAUUUCAGCGCUGUGGUCCUCUGUGGUCGUCCCUGCAGCUGUAGGAGGCUUACGGAACUGUCGCUAUUCUUGAAGUUGACGGGAGCUGGGUCACGCCCUUGGCUGCCAAGGCAGGGCCCGGAGCUGCUCCCCACCCGGGUCUAAAGGAAGGGCGCUGUAGUCACGGAUGGGAAGCGAGCUCCACUUGCACUGCAGACGCCCUCGCUGGGGCAGGGUACGCAGAAAUAGACAGCAGCGAUGCCCGGACGGUCAGGCUCACCAGACCUCUGUUGCCAAUCCCGAUCACCCUGCUCUGACCUUUGGAAAUUACAUGGUGCUGCAUGCUCUUGAUUCAGGGUACGGAUUCCGAGGGAAGAUGGCCGAGAAACCGUGGCUUGAGAUUCCUUUGUCACCAUUUUAUUAGCGUCUUUCCUUCUAAUCAGUCAUGCAGUCCAAGAGUGCAUUCAAACAGUUUGGGCUGGAGGAGCCCAUGACAUCAAAGGACGCAAUAUUAACACAGACACGAUGGCCGAGAACAGCACAGAGGAGUCCAGGACUGCAGAACUGCGUGCAGCCGUCUGGAAGGGCUGUGGGAGGAGACUUGAGGCUGUGGUACGCGGCCAAGAUAGGCUCCAAGAAAAAGUCGCUAAAGCUGGGUCUUAGAAAACGUGCCAGAUUUGAGCUGUGGAAGGGGAGGACAUCCCAGGAGCCAAGAGCAAAGGGAAGGCUCACUGUGCUUCUCUCUUAACCACGUGGCAUUCCUGCCCCGCUUGUAACCCCUUUGAAGCUGCCAAAACACAGGUGUGCUUUUGUUUUGAUUACAAACUCGGAGAGAGCUGUUGGUGGGACUUUUGAAUCCUGAGACCUGGCGCUUCUGCAGCUGCUCGGAUCCUUCCAAGAGCUGAGGGCUGAGCUGCAGGUAGAAGGGAGGCUUUGACUUCAGAGGUUCAGGCGGGGGUGCCUUCUCCACUCUCGCUGCCCCCCACCCUGGAAGCAGAGGCUUCUGAUCUCUUGCAGAGGAUCGCCAACGGCCCUGCCGUGCCAAGCGCCGACAGGAGGUCACGGCUGCUUUCAGCUGAGCAUUAGCCCCAGUGGGCUUGGCAGGAUUUUACAACAAUCAAAACUAAGCAGGUUAAAAGGCUCUGUGGGGGCGGGACGGGGUGACUGCCUGAGCCUAGAUCACAGCAUGCGCAGUGCAGCUUGGGCCUGGAACCGCCCCGAGGCCAGACGCCCGGGGUCUGAGCCAGAUAGAAAUCGGGACUGGCUGCGAGAAAGCAGCCUGCGAG
ensembl:lncRNA